rnacentral:rRNA from 1 species
UACGAAGGGGGCUAGCGUUGUUCGGAUUUACUGGGCGUAAAGCGCACGUAGGCGGAUUGGUCAGUUAGAGGUGAAAUCCCGAAGCUCAACUUUGGAACUGCCUUUAAUACUGCCAGUCUAGAGUCCGGAAGAGGUAAGUGGAACUCCUAGUGUAGAGGUGGAAUUCGUAGAUAUUAGGAAGAACACCAGUGGCGAAGGCGGCUUACUGGUCCGGUACUGACGCUGAGGUGCGAAAGCGUGGGGAGCAAACAGG